rnacentral:rRNA from 1 species
GUAGGUGGCAAGCGUUGUCCGGAAUUAUUGGGCGUAAAGCGCGCACAGGCGGUUCUUUAAGUCUGAUGUGAAAGCCCACGGCUCAACAGUGGAGGGUCAUUGGAAACUGGAGAACUUGAGUACAGAAGAGGAAAGCGGAAUUCCACGUGUAGCGGUGAAAUGCGUAGAGAUGUGGAGGAACACCAGUGGCGAAGGCGGCUUUCUGGUCUGUAACUGACGCUGAGGCGCGAAAGCGUGGGGGAGCAAACAGGAUUAGAUACCCUGGUAGUCCACGCCGUAAACGAUGAGUGCUAAGUGUUAGGGGGUUUCCGCCCCUUAGUGCUGCAGCUAACGCAUUAAGCACUCCGCCCUGGGAGUACGGCCGCAAGGCUG